UGUGAGCUGUAACCAGGCUGCUGCAAGAAGAAAUGCAGUAUGGAACAAGAGUUUGAUGGCAUUUGAGACUCAUUCCUUUCCAAACUAUGAUGAGUGGAGCAACUCUGCCUGGACUGAACUCUGCUCUGCAGGUGUGAGAUUCUUAGGUCUUUGAGAAAUUAGCUGGUGUCAUCAAGGAGCUCUGCUUUUUGACAUGAGGAAAAGGCACAGUUUGUUUCCUGAGCUGUCCCUGGGGCUUAAUUUGUGUUGGGGAAAACCAUCAGGGCAUUAAAGGUAAGAGUUU
rnacentral:lncRNA from 1 species